UUACAAAAUCAUAGCAAAUAUCGGAAUUAAAAACAAAUGUUAACAAAAAAAAGUAUUUAACUUUAGUUUCAAUUAGGCAAUAGAACUGCAGUACGGUCAUUCAUAAACCGGAACAUCUCAAUUACAAGAUAACCAUAAAUUAAAUGUCAUCAGCCAUCCAGGACAUCUUGUCACGAUUUUCAGCCAAUAUAACUGUGUCACCGGGAUUGAAGGCAGGCAUUCCUAUAUACGGGCAUCCACUACAACGAAAAGCGUCGCCAAGAUAGCAAUUUCCGCAACUUGAGACGGCAUUUUUACUCUUGAGCUUCUCGGUGAAAUCAACUUCGGUGGUGUCUGUAAGUUUUACAGCUUCUAACUGUGCGGAUGUCUUGGAAGACUCGUGUUCUUCCAUUUCACGUAAUCCACAGGUACAGUUCUUGCAAGCACGCUUUUUCUUUCCAGGUUCAGGUUUGCACUCGGGCACUUUUAAAACAUUAUCGUGGGCACUUUCGUCUAACAACUCAUCUUCAUCGAUGAGUUCUUGAUCAUCAUCACCACUAAUAAGGUUUUCCUUGUCAGAUUUUAAGAAAUCAAGAAUUUUGUUUUUGCUCGCUGAUUGACCAUUUUUGUUUGAUAAUUUAAUGGGAACUGCUUCCACCUGAUUGGGACGAGAUAAAAUCCAAGGACUCUUUGAUUCAAUAAGCCAUCCAGAUAGCAAAGCUGUCAUUUCAAAUGACUCGUCUGCUUCAUCGGCAGUAGAAUAAACACGAAGUGUUCCUCCAGGAUGUACUGAUGCAAAGGCUUGUGAAAGUAUAGGUCCUAGAGUUGAAGACCAUGCACCAUCAUCAAUGGCAGCAAUAACUGAAUCAUAUCGAUUGAUGGGUAAAUUAACAAGUUGAGAUUGGACGCGAUCUAUCAUUUGCAACUCUCUAGAAGCACCAUUAUCGAUAAGGUCAAAAACUUUUUUCAAAGACUCCUCUUUUGAAGCAAAGCCGGGAGACGUCAAAACAAGGACAGAAGAUGACAUAUUGAGAGAAGAUAUUAACAGCUUAAACAAAAGCAAAAAAAGUAAUUAAAAUUAUUAUAUUA